GGGUUGUGAGGUUAAGCGACUAAGCGUACACGGUGGAUGCCCUGGCAGUCAGAGGCGAUGAAGGACGUGCUAAUCUGCGAUAAGCGUCGGUGAGGUGAUAUGAACCGUUAUAACCGGCGAUUUCCGAAUGGGGAAACCCAGUGUGUUUCGACACACUAUCAUUAACUGAAUCCAUAGGUUAAUGAGGCGAACCGGGGGAACUGAAACAUCUAAGUACCCCGAGGAAAAGAAAUCAACCGAGAUUCCCCCAGUAGCGGCGAGCGAACGGGGAGGAGCCCAGAGCCUGAAUCAGUGUGUGUGUUAGUGGAAGCGUCUGGAAAGGCGCGCGAUACAGGGUGACAGCCCCGUACACAAAAAUGCACAUGCUGUGAGCUCGAUGAGUAGGGCGGGACACGUGGUAUCCUGUCUGAAUAUGGGGGGACCAUCCUCCAAGGCUAAAUACUCCUGACUGACCGAUAGUGAACCAGUACCGUGAGGGAAAGGCGAAAAGAACCCCGGCGAGGGGAGUGAAAAAGAACCUGAAACCGUGUACGUACAAGCAGUGGGAGCCUCUUUAUGGGGUGACUGCGUACCUUUUGUAUAAUGGGUCAGCGACUUAUAUUCUGUAGCAAGGUUAACCGAAUAGGGGAGCCGAAGGGAAACCGAGUCUUAACUGGGCGUUAAGUUGCAGGGUAUAGACCCGAAACCCGGUGAUCUAGCCAUGGGCAGGUUGAAGGUUGGGUAACACUAACUGGAGGACCGAACCGACUAAUGUUGAAAAAUUAGCGGAUGACUUGUGGCUGGGGGUGAAAGGCCAAUCAAACCGGGAGAUAGCUGGUUCUCCCCGAAAGCUAUUUAGGUAGCGCCUCGUGAAUUCAUCUCCGGGGGUAGAGCACUGUUUCGGCAAGGGGGUCAUCCCGACUUACCAACCCGAUGCAAACUGCGAAUACCGGAGAAUGUUAUCACGGGAGACACACGGCGGGUGCUAACGUCCGUCGUGAAGAGGGAAACAACCCAGACCGCCAGCUAAGGUCCCAAAGUCAUGGUUAAGUGGGAAACGAUGUGGGAAGGCCCAGACAGCCAGGAUGUUGGCUUAGAAGCAGCCAUCAUUUAAAGAAAGCGUAAUAGCUCACUGGUCGAGUCGGCCUGCGCGGAAGAUGUAACGGGGCUAAACCAUGCACCGAAGCUGCGGCAGCGACACUAUGUGUUGUUGGGUAGGGGAGCGUUCUGUAAGCCUGUGAAGGUGUACUGUGAGGUAUGCUGGAGGUAUCAGAAGUGCGAAUGCUGACAUAAGUAACGAUAAAGCGGGUGAAAAGCCCGCUCGCCGGAAGACCAAGGGUUCCUGUCCAACGUUAAUCGGGGCAGGGUGAGUCGACCCCUAAGGCGAGGCCGAAAGGCGUAGUCGAUGGGAAACAGGUUAAUAUUCCUGUACUUGGUGUUACUGCGAAGGGGGGACGGAGAAGGCUAUGUUGGCCGGGCGACGGUUGUCCCGGUUUAAGCGUGUAGGCUGGUUUUCCAGGCAAAUCCGGAAAAUCAAGGCUGAGGCGUGAUGACGAGGCACUACGGUGCUGAAGCAACAAAUGCCCUGCUUCCAGGAAAAGCCUCUAAGCAUCAGGUAACAUCAAAUCGUACCCCAAACCGACACAGGUGGUCAGGUAGAGAAUACCAAGGCGCUUGAGAGAACUCGGGUGAAGGAACUAGGCAAAAUGGUGCCGUAACUUCGGGAGAAGGCACGCUGAUAUGUAGGUGAAGCGACUUGCUCGUGGAGCUGAAAUCAGUCGAAGAUACCAGCUGGCUGCAACUGUUUAUUAAAAACACAGCACUGUGCAAACACGAAAGUGGACGUAUACGGUGUGACGCCUGCCCGGUGCCGGAAGGUUAAUUGAUGGGGUUAGCGGUAACGCGAAGCUCUUGAUCGAAGCCCCGGUAAACGGCGGCCGUAACUAUAACGGUCCUAAGGUAGCGAAAUUCCUUGUCGGGUAAGUUCCGACCUGCACGAAUGGCGUAAUGAUGGCCAGGCUGUCUCCACCCGAGACUCAGUGAAAUUGAACUCGCUGUGAAGAUGCAGUGUACCCGCGGCAAGACGGAAAGACCCCGUGAACCUUUACUAUAGCUUGACACUGAACAUUGAGCCUUGAUGUGUAGGAUAGGUGGGAGGCUUUGAAGUGUGGACGCCAGUCUGCAUGGAGCCGGCCUUGAAAUACCACCCUUUAAUGUUUGAUGUUCUAACGUUGGCCCCUGAUCGGGGUUGCGGACAGUGUCUGGUGGGUAGUUUGACUGGGGCGGUCUCCUCCUAAAGAGUAACGGAGGAGCACGAAGGUUGGCUAAUCCUGGUCGGACAUCAGGAGGUUAGUGCAAUGGCAUAAGCCAGCUUGACUGCGAGCGUGACGGCGCGAGCAGGUGCGAAAGCAGGUCAUAGUGAUCCGGUGGUUCUGAAUGGAAGGGCCAUCGCUCAACGGAUAAAAGGUACUCCGGGGAUAACAGGCUGAUACCGCCCAAGAGUUCAUAUCGACGGCGGUGUUUGGCACCUCGAUGUCGGCUCAUCACAUCCUGGGGCUGAAGUAGGUCCCAAGGGUAUGGCUGUUCGCCAUUUAAAGUGGUACGCGAGCUGGGUUUAGAACGUCGUGAGACAGUUCGGUCCCUAUCUGCCGUGGGCGCUGGAGAACUGAGGGGGGCUGCUCCUAGUACGAGAGGACCGGAGUGGACGCAUCACUGGUGUUCGGGUUGUCAUGCCAAUGGCACUGCCCGGUAGCUAAAUGCGGAAGAGAUAAGUGCUGAAAGCAUCUAAGCACGAAACUUGCCCCGAGAUGAGUUCUCCCUGAGACUUAGAGUCUCCUGAAGGAACGUUGAAGACGACGACGUUGAUAGGCCGGGUGUGUAAGCGCAGCGAUGCGUUGAGCUAACCGGUACUAAUGAACCGUGAGGCUUAACCUUACAACGCCGAAG
rnacentral:rRNA from 2 species